rnacentral:hammerhead_ribozyme from 1 species
GCACUUCUGAGGAGUCCCACAAUAGGACGAAACGUGUGUUCAGUGC